rnacentral:rRNA from 1 species
UUCCGGUUGAUCCUGCCGGACCUUACUGCUAUCGGGGUGGGACUAAGACAUGCGAGUCGAGCGUCUCUAGCUAUGUUGAGACGCGGCAGACGGCUCAGUAACACGUGGCUAACCUACCCUCAGGACGAGGACAAACCCGGGAAACUGGGGCUAAUACUCGAUAGGUGAGAAUGUCUGGAAUGAUUUCUCACUCAAAGGACCUUGGAAACAUGCUUCCAUUGUCGCCUGGGGAUGGGGCCGCGUCCGAUCAGGUUGUUGGUGAGGUAAUGGCUCACCAAGCCUAUAACCGGUACGGGCCGUGAGAGCGGUAGCCCGGAGAUGGGUACUGAGACAAGGACCCAGGCCCUACGGGGCGCAGCAGUCGCGAAAACUCCGCAAUGCACGAAAGUGUGACGGGGCUACCCCGAGUGCCAUCCGCUGAGGGUGGCUUUUCCUUGGUAUAACUAGCCGAGGGAAUAAGGAGAGGGCAAGACUGGUGUCAGCCGCCGCGGUAAUACCAGCUCUCCGAGUGGUAGGGAUGAUUAUUGGGCUUAAAGCGUCCGUAGCCGGCUUAGCAAGUCUCCUGUUAAAUUCAGCGACCUAAUCGUUGAGCCGCGGGAGAUACUACUAGGCUAGGAGGCGGGAGAGGUCGACGGUACUUCUGGGGUAGGGGUGAAAUCCUAUAAUCCCGGGAGGACCACCAGUGGCGAAGGCUGUCGACUAGAACGCGCUCGACGGUGAGGGACGAAAGCUGGGGGAGCGAACCGGAUUAGAUACCCGGGUAGUCCCAGCCGUAAACGAUGCGGGCUAGGUGUUGGGGUGGCUACGUGCCACUUCAGUGCCGCAGGGAAGCCAUUAAGCCCGCCGCCUGGGGAGUACGGCCGCAAGGCUGAACUUAAAGGAAUUGGCGGGGGAGCACCACAAGGCGUGAAGCUUGCGGUUCAAUUGAAUCAACGCCGGU